rnacentral:rRNA from 1 species
UACGUAGGGGGCAAGCGUUGUCCGGACUUACUGGGCGUAAAGCGCGUGCAGGCGGAUUGGUAUGUGCCGUGUGAAAGCUCCCGGCUUGCCUGGGAGAGGUCGCGGUAGACAGCCGAUCUGGAGGCUCGGAGAGGUCAGUGGAAUUCCCGGUGUAGUGGUGAAAUGCGUAGAUAUCGGGAAGAACACCCGUGGCUAAGGCGGCUCUCUAGUACGGUACUGACGCUGAGACGCGAAAGCGUGGGGAGCGAACAGG